GUGCAGUGCACUUCUGGGAACAUUUCGGUGCACUGCUGCAGAGUGAGCGCUCCUUGCUUUCACGCUGCUCUCCGGGGGAAAAUCAUUCCACUACGUUGAGUCUUCCCGUCCGCUCUAUGAAGAUGAAGCAGGGGUCCCCUGUCUGUCACCUAUCUCUGUCCGUGUGUGUGUGUGUUUGUCUGGGCGUGGUGCUCCAGUCUCUCUCCUGCUGCCAAUCACUUGCACACCUGUGACUCAUCCACUAAUCAAGACCCUGCAGGAUAUCUACACCGGCUCUUCACUCCAGUCUUCACCAGAUCAUUCCAGUUCGCCAACGUUCAUUCCCUGCUGCUGAUCUCAGCCUGCCUGCUCCGUCCAGUUACUCGUCUGUUUUCCCUGACACCUGCCCAGCUCACUCUGCCUGUCUUAAUCUACUGUGAAACUGCGACCAAGAUUUCUAACUUGCAUCUCUGACUUUUUUUAUAAUCCCUUGUCCUUCUGUAAUGGGAUUACAGAACCUAACAGAACCCUGUUCAAAAAUCUGGCAGUUCAAUAAAGCGUUGAUUGAUAGUCUAUUUGGAGAGGGGAGAAAAAAAAAGGAACAAAUAGUCGAAUAUUUGUACUGAACAGCCAAAUCCAACUGACAAAAUUCUGUGUUGGGUACAGCCCUAAUUAAGUCUGUGUGAAACCCUGAGAAAACACUACAGUUAGUAGUCAGUAGCCAAUUGUGCCAGUUCACCACCCUAAAAUGUACAGCAGGACAUGUAGACAAAGACUAUUUUCUUGACUCCAUCUGCUGAUGGAGAUCAGCGAUAUGACUGAAAGCUACAGAAAAACUGCUAAAUGGACCUAUUUAGAUAGCUGCUGUUUCCGAGGUCAAGAAUGAAAUAAACUCAACCUUUAAGCCAUCAUGAAUGAGAAGUUGUUAAAGUGCUCAGAACAAGUUGAGGUGGAUCAGUCAACAGAUUAUUGUCAAAAGAUUGUUAAAUUUUUUUUCAAAAAGAAAAAUCUGAUAGAAAUCAGGUACAGACAACAAGCAGAGAGCAGCCUGAAGAUAAAUGUUAUGCUCUUUUUGAGAUAUAUUUUAGACCUAUUUUUUUUAUCUUAAGAAAUAAUCUACGAAGGCAGAUUCAAACUACUUGUCCUCUUUGAACAAGUCCUGUUAUAGUCACUGUAACUGGGCCAAAACAUAUGCCCUCUCACUUUUAGGGUGAAUGCACUUUGGAUAAAUGAAGUGGCUAACUUAACCACUGAUCUUAGCUCACUGCUGCUUUUCCUGUAGAUCUACUGCUGAUAUAAACAGCAUUGGCUGACCAGAAAUAACAGUGAGAGACAAUUAGGCUGAAAUCUGUUUAUUGCUAAGACUGCAAGUUAUAAAUGAUACAGUAAACGAAGAUGUUGAAGAGUCAUUCAAAACAUACCUUCAUAUAAUAAUAUUAACUUGAUUACAAUUUAAAAACAAGAAGGGGGCAAGUUAUUUAUCCUACAUGGAUGUCUGCAAGGAGCAACCCGAAACACCCCACAUGCACACUGGUGUUGCAGUACUGUCAACCUUCUUUAAACCUGUUUUUCAGAAGGUGUGACAGGAAGACCCAAGGCCCUGUAUUGCCGCCCACCUCAACACACAGCCCUAAUGGGACGCCUCUUACAGCGACCCACCCCUCACUCCCACUGCCCAUCUCUCACCCUCCUUCCCUCCACUGACAAGAAUGAAACUGACAAAAUAACAGCCCCCCAUCCCCAAACUGUCCAUCACUCUAAAGGCCAACACAGCACAUAGACUGCACUAUGGACCUGGUCCCCUUUCAAACUCUUCACCCAGCAGUACACUGUUCAUCACACCUGGAGACAGCACUGCCCCCCCCCCAAACUGUCCAUCACUGCCAUCCAGGUGAGAAGGUAAUUGGGGAGGUUCUGCCCGAAGGCAGUGGCCUCUGAAAGCAUCCAGAGUCCACAUGUCAGCUGCCAGUGUUUACGGCUGUACCUGUUCAACAUACUGUAUCCAUGGACAUUAUAAAAGCUUUUCUGGAGGACUGGUGAACUCCAUAGAUUUGCUUUAGUUUGCAUACCAGACCCACAUGUAAAAUUAAAUCAUGUACCACAGCGCUUCUUUCAACGUGACUGAGAGGAUUUGUGCAAAUCAAGUUUUUGUUCACUCUCUACACAUCAGACUUGGUUAACACAGUGUGUUAACCAGAGGUACAGUACUGUAUGCACACAAAGAUAUGGAUGCUGAUUGUUUUGUAAAUAGUAAAACAAUGUUGCGGUUUGUCUAUCAUUCCCAUUGUGCUUCAUGCUGAAGUGCCAAUCUAAUAAAAGCAAAAGGAGCUUAUUUAUUAUAUAUGAAACAUCACUCAGAAAUGUUACUGUAUAAAAUCAAUUUCAACAGGAAGACAAAACAUACAAGAUCUUGAAGAUCUGAGGAAUUAGCUAGUGGAAUCUCAGCUUGUUAGCUGUGUUACACGAUCCACUUAUUUAAACCUCUGUCGGAGUACUAACUACUCCACAAAAGAGGAAGGGUUAUAAAGCCGAUGUCUUUUGAAUAAACUGCGUGAACCAUUAGAGACAAAGUUAACAGCAAGCUUGCUAGCUGACAGUUAGGCUGCUGUGUCAGCUAACUGACUGUUAGCAAGCUUCUUGGCUCUCCCCUCCUUAAUAUGUGUUUAUUGAAUGAAUUGAUGUACAUUCCCGAGAACAGAAUGCCAGGGGAGAGUAAGCAGAACAGUACAGAGAAAAAAGAAAGAAGCUUGGGGAGCCAUUGUGACUGAUUAGCACAAGUACGUUCUGGUAUGGCUGGUGUAUUAGCAGUUAGCUCACCAGCUAUAGAAGUUCACCAACUAGCCCUGCAAGUAGUCCCUACGUCAUCAAGCUUGUAAAAUGAAAUAUUUUGCUAAGAUGUGAAGAUGAAUAUUGCUGUGCCAGUGCCCCUGAGACUGAGCCUAAAGAUUUUUCUCAGCUGUGAGUGAGAGAUUGAGACAUUGUCCAGGGGGGACAUUGUAAAAACCAUUUACAUCCUCCCAGUCUGGAUUUUCAGAUUGAAAACGUAGAAUGAGUUGGGCAGAGGAGUCUGGGCAGCCACAUUGAAAUGCCAUGCCCACUUGACUGCCUCAGACACAUUCAAGGACUUGUAGUUGGAGCUGAAGGAAGCAUGCAAAAAGAAUUACUGGCACAAGGCCUUAAAAUGAGCUCUGUGUGUGUGUGUGUGUGUGUGUGUUACCCAGACUUUUGCAGAGCAUAUCCCAGCAUUCAGGUGAGAUCACAAAAUUUCUAGACUCUCAUCGGCUGUUGGCUUGCUUGAGAAAAUUAGACAAAAAAGAAACAGGUUUGAUCCUUUCCGGGAAGAACAUCUAAAGAGCUAAAAGUAUAAAUAAAGAAAGAAGGCAAAACCUGAGGUUUUUAUUUCAUAUCUCCCCAAAAACUAACUGCAAUGAAUUUGUGGUAGUAAUGUGUUAAGGGGUUAAAGCUGAAAUCAUUCUCCCACUGUAAAAUAUUUAUUUAUGUGUGUUGUAUCACAAAUGUUUUUGCCCUUAUGAGAGAAUCCAAAUAAAACUCUACCGUGCCUUUAGAAGACACUUCAGCUGUCUCUCCAAAAAUGAUGUUUCUGUUCAGUUGAUAACCUUUCUGGUGAAUGGGUCAAAAAAAAAAGACUCAACUAUGACAUCAGGUCAAAGAUGAUUCAACUCCACUUUCUCUGAUUUAAUUUUUGAGUUGCGUUAUAAAACAACUGCAGCCAUAAAAGAGGUCCCUUUACAACACUGAAGUCCAUCUGUGCAGAUGUCUCCAGUGUGUUCUGUGUCAGAAGGCAUCUGACACCAGAGACCAAAAGCCAAAAACCAUAUUGCAGCAGCUGGUUGUAUGCUGUUCAUCACCAUUCUGCCUCGGGGACUUUUAAGUCAUUUUCCUCUCCGUCUAUUUUUAUAGUUGGUCUGAGGGAGAUUUGUUUAACUAAAUUAGAACUCUGUUUUAAUCCUUUUAAUACAGCACAUCCCAUGAAGACAUCUCUCAAAUCAGUACUAAUGUCCGACACUGCAGUGGCAUUUCUGCUACCAUCAUUAUUUCUUUUUAAUUAUUUGUUCUUAAUUUUCAAAGAGAACAGGCUGUCAGCCAUCAUGUCAUGUUUUAUUUCGAUGGUAGAAAUACAUACACACAGGGAUUAUUCUAGCCAGGAAUUAAUCCUCCAUUAACUGGACUGUGUUACAGUUCCUCUCCUGCGGCCCUGUUUCCUAAACACAGGAUACUUUGGUGAUGCAUGGAUGCCUGAUGCAUGUUGUGUUUAAUGGCCAUUAGCAGUACAAUGUGGAUAUAUAAAGAGCCUUAUUCAUUAUCACUGACUAAACCGCUGAAUUAUCUAAACUAGUGUCCCGUGAGCCGUUAUUGGAACAAUUAUGCUUGUCGACGCUUUUGAUUUGAUUCACGAGAGAUCAAGGUCGUGUUAAGCAAUCAAUUGAUUUGCUCUCCCUGUUUUAAUGGCAUGGUGUGUCAGUGAUGCCUGUAGGGGCUUGAUAGAGCUGCUUUCUAAAAGGAUUGCAUUGUGCUGUCUCUUAAAAUGAACUAAUUCAUUGAAAUCACUUGGCAUGAAGUGAGGUUGCAGCCAGGUCUAUGUGGUUUCCCAAAGACCAGACCAUCUUUAUAAACUUCAUUUGUAAUUUCUACAAUGAUUUUUCUUUGCCUUUAGAGAGCUCAGCUUUUACAUUCAAUCAUGAUGAUGUUUGGCUGGUAUAAUUUUUACCACAUUCACCAUCUCAGUUUAGCAUGCUAACAUUUGCUAAUUAGCACUAAACUUAAAGUACAGCUGAGGCUGUUGGGAAUGUCAUUAGUUUUGCAGGUAUUUGGUCAUAAACCAAAGUAUUGUACAAAUUAAAAUUUAUACUUAAUGAUGGACACAAGAGAGAAUCACCCAAUUUUUUACAAUUAAUUCUGAGGGGAACAUAAAUGUGUGUACCAAAUUUCAUGGCAAUCCAUCCAAUAGUCGUUAAAAUAUGUCAGUAACCGAAGUAAGAAGGACUCAUCCUCUGGGUACCAUGGAUGUCUGUAAAAGAUUUCAUGACAAUCCAUCUGAUAAUUGUUAAGAUAUGUCAGUGCCGACCAAAGUAGUGGACUAACAGACAGACUGACUGACAUUGCCAUCCCCAGAGCCACACAGCUAGCGUGGCUAAAAAGUCUCAGAUAUGUCAAAAUGACCUGUGUUUAAUGCAAGUCUGGCAAGUGUGGCAGACUGUUUGUGUGGAGGACCUGGUAAAAUACCACAAAGAUAGCAGUGCUGACCUAAGACCAAUUAUCUCAAGUCACAUUGAAAUAAUGGGACUUGACCUAU